GGCUUUAGUCACUGCGAAAUUAUUAGAAAAUGGUGGUAGCAAGCUAUUUUCACGAGUUAAUGGAUUCCACGCACGAGUGCGGAAAAUGGUAGCUUCACGUGCCCGAACAUUUCCCUGUUAGGUGUGCCCCAGCAAAAUAGAGCACCAUUCCAUCUCUACAGCGUGUUAUGAUAUCGCCUCCUUUACUCAUAGGAGACCCAGAAUUUUCAGCUGCUGAACAUGUUCAGGUGGGAGAGGUGGGGGAGACCAAUCAGAUCCCAUAGUCUCACCAUCAACAUCCUCAACGACAUAUUCUUUUGUUAGCAUCCUUUUUGCAAGUAUAUGAUAGUCCGUUGCCAAAUUCGCUGUCCAACCAUAGUAGCUACUAGAACACUAUAGAAUAUGCCAAUCACUGUAAAGAGUACAAGCACAAUCACAGCCAUUAUAAAUAAAAAUGGUAGCCCUGCUUCACCAGCACCUCCCAAGCA
rnacentral:misc_RNA from 1 species